GGCCUCCCGGUGCUUACCACAGGCUGUGUUCUUACAUGGACUAUAAAGAAAUCAGAGGAAGUGUAAACCCACUCCGUAUACACCUCAGCUCAGGCCCUUGGCCUGGUCUCUGUUAUGAAUGGGGAGACAAUA